rnacentral:rRNA from 1 species
GGAUCCAGACUUUGAUUCUGGCUCAGGAUGAACGCUAGCUACAGGCUUAACACAUGCAAGUCGAGGGGAAACGACAUCGAAAGCUUGCUUUUGAUGGGCGUCGACCGGCGCACGGGUGAGUAACGCGUAUCCAACCUGCCCACCACUUGGGGAUAACCUUGCGAAAGUAAGACUAAUACCCAAUGACGUCUCUAGAAGACAUCUGAAAGAGAUUAAAGAUUUAUCGGUGAUGGAUGGGGAUGCGUCUGAUUAGCUUGUUGGCGGGGUAACGGCCCACCAAGGCAACGAUCAGUAGGGGUUCUGAGAGGAAGGUCCCCCACAUUGGAACUGAGACACGGUCCAAACUCCUACGGGAGGCAGCAGUGAGGAAUAUUGGUCAAUGGACGAGAGUCUGAACCAGCCAAGUAGCGUGCAGGAUGACGGCCCUAUGGGUUGUAAACUGCUUUUAUAAGGGAAUAAAGUGAGUCUCGUGAGACUUUUUGCAUGUACCUUAUGAAUAAGGACCGGCUAAUUCCGUGCCAGCAGCCGCGGUAAUAGGGAAGGUCCGGGCGUUAUCCGGAUUUAUUGGGUUUAAAGGGAGCGUAGGCCGGAGAUUAAGCGUGUUGUGAAAUGUAGACGCUCAACGUCUGCACUGCAGCGCGAACUGGUUUCCUUGGGUACGCACAAAGUGGGCGGAAUUCGUGGUGUAGCGGUGAAAUGCUUAGAUAUCACGAAGAACUCCGAUUGCGAAGGCAGCUCACUGGAGCGCAACUGACGCUGAAGCUCGAAAGUGCGGGUAUCGAACAGGAUUAGAUACCCUGGUAGUCCGCACGGUAAACGAUGGAUGCCCGCUGUUGGUCUGAAUAGGUCAGCGGCCAAGCGAAAGCAUUAAGCAUCCCACCUGGGGAGUACGCCGGCAACGGUGCAACUCAAAGGAAUUGACGG